rnacentral:rRNA from 1 species
GUGCACCAGGCGAGAAUCUUCCACAAUGGACGAAAGUCUGAUGGAGCGACGCCGCGUGCGGGAUGAAGGCCUUAUGGGUUGUAAACCGCUGUCAGGGGGGAAGAACAUCGGAAUGAACAAUACUCAUUCCGACUGACGUUACCCCCAGAGGAAGCUCCGGCCAACUCCGUGCCAGCAGCCGCGGUAAUACGGGGGAGCAAGCGUUGUCCGGAAUUAUUGGGCGUAAAGGGCGUGUAGGCGGCGAGGUAAGUCGAAUGUGGAAAUCUCACGGCUCAACCGUGAAACUGCGUUCGAAACUACCCUGCUUGAGUACGGGAGAGGUGUACGGAAUUCCGUGGUGUAGCGGUGGAAUGCGUAGAUAUCA